GACGAACGCUGGCGGCGUGCCUAAUACAUGCAAGUCGAGCGCAGGAAACUGACGGAACUCUUCGGAGGGAAGGCAGCGGAAUGAGCGGCGGACGGGUGAGUAACACGUAAGGAACCUGCCUCAAGGAUUGGGAUAACUCCGAGAAAUCGGAGCUAAUACCGGAUAGUUCAACGGACCGCAUGGUCCGCUGAUGAUAGGCGCUCCGGCGUCACCUUGAGAUGGCCUUGCGGUGCAUUAGCUAGUUGGUGGGGUAACGGCUCACCAAGGCGACGAUACAGAGCCGACGGGGGAGGGUGAGCGGCCACACUGGGACUGAAACACGGCCCAGACCCCGACGGGAGGGAGCAGUAGGGAAUGUUCCACAAUGGACGAAAGUCUGAUGGAGCAACGCCGCGUGAGUGGUGUAAGUGUUCUGAUCGUAAAUCUCUGUUGUAAGGGAAGAACACGAACGAGAGGAAAUGCUCGUACCUUGACGGUACCUUACGAGAAAGCCACGGCUAACUACGUGCCAGCAGCCGCCGUAAAAC
rnacentral:rRNA from 1 species